rnacentral:lncRNA from 1 species
AUGAUUUGCAAGACUCUGGUCACAUGCCCACACCUGUGGCUUCUGAAGCAGAGCACCAGCAGUGACAGUCCCACCAGAACCGCAUGGAAUAGAAAACUGUGCAUUUCCCUAAGGAAAGGGAAUGCCAGAGAAGGGCAGAAGGGAAAUCAGGAAGACAAAACGGUAAAUUACCUACCACAAAUCCAAUUCAUUGGUAUUUUUCCACUUACACUUAACCAAGCAACGAUUUCUCCUGGUCCCAUAAUGGAAAAGAGGGUUUAUCUAGAUUCAUAUAUACAAGACUGAAGAGUGAAGAGAGACCCAGAGAAUGUUCUAAAAUCUGCCAGUUAGCAUAAUCACACAGAGAAAUCUCUGCUUCCAGAGGAGGAGCCAAGUUCAAGUCAGAGUGUCUUCAUGUUGGAGUGGACCUUUCCUCUAUCUGUCAACAGAAUGGAUAAAUUGUGGAAGAGUAAUAUCAGAAUACUACACAUCAGUAAAAAACAACAAACUUCUGCUACAAACAAUCAACAUCGAUGAAUCUUUCAGGCAAAAGGGUGAGCUAAAGUAGUCAGACACAAAAGGCUACAUACUGUAUGAUUCUUUCUACAAAAAAAUUCAAGAACAGGCAAAAUUAAUCUUUGAUGAUAGGAGUUAAAAUAGUGGCUACCUUGGAUAGUGGUGGUAGGGUUAUGGAUUGAGAAACAAGGGAAUCUUGAGUGCUGGAAAGACUCUGUUUUAUAUCCUGAUCUGAAUAAUGGUUACAAGGGUAUGAAAAUAUUCAUGAAGCUGUAGUUUUUUGUAAAUUGUACCUCAAUCAAAAAGACAUUACAUAAUGGAAGUGCUUACUGAGUAAAUGAUAUUAUAUCUGGAAUUCAGGGAGGAGGGGAAGUGAAAGGGGAGUCUAUAAAAUAUUGAUGAGUUGAUAAUUGUAAAAUUGGGUAAUGGGCACAUGAAGGGUUGUUAUACUAUUUUGUCUGCUUUUUUAGCUUAAAAAAUAAAUAAAAAAUAUAAA